GACGACGUUGAUAGGUCGGGUGUGUAAGCGCAGCGAUGCGUUGAGCUAACCGAUACUAAUGAACCGUGAGGCUUAACCUUACAACGCCGAAGC
rnacentral:rRNA from 1 species